GGAUACCUUCCAAAAGACCAGAUUGCUCCAAGCCUUGUCCAGCUCGGCCUUGGACACUUCCAGGGAUGGGGCAGCCACAGCUUCUCGGGGCAAACCAUGGAAAUUUUAUAACCUAUUUCAGCAUGGCUGUCACUUGUCAGCUCAUUUUUUUGAUGACCCGGCAGAUCACCAAGCUCAAUGAUCAGCACUCUUGAUGGACCAGCCCCAUCAGGUUCAUUCUCAUGGAGAAGAACAUAGAGAAGGUUGUCCUCAAAGCUGAAGUAAUUGGCUCCUGCCCCUGCAUUCAGUGAAAAAGAAG